CCCUAAUGAAGUCUUUCUGACAUUUGGAUUUCCCAGUUGAGUCUCCCAAACGAGGCCUGCUACCUCAUGAGAUGUUGAAUGCUGGCACAACACUGGUACUUUUGUAACACUGCUAACGGGGACCAAGCAAGAAUUCAUUCCAACUUCUAGAAGCUCUGGAUCAAAGAAAAAGGGUGUGACAGCUCUUAAAGAUAAACGUAGAG
rnacentral:lncRNA from 1 species